UACGUAGGGUGCAAGCGUUGUCCGGAAUUAUUGGGCGUAAAGAGCGUGUAGGCGGCCUGAUAGGUCAGCUGUGAAAACUCGAGGCUCAACCCCGAGCUGUCGGUGGAAACCGUGUGGCUAGAGUCCGGAAGAGGAGAGUGGAAUUCCCGGUGUAGCGGUGAAAUGCGCAGAUAUCGGGAAGAACACCCGUGGCGAAGGCGGCUCUCUGGGACGGUACUGACGCUGAGACGCGAAAGCGUGGGGAGCGAACAGG
rnacentral:rRNA from 1 species